rnacentral:rRNA from 1 species
GUGGGGAAUAUUGGACAAUGGGGGCAACCCUGAUCCAGCCAUGCCGCGUGUGUGAAGAAGGCCUUCGGGUUGUAAAGCACUUUAAGCGGGGAGGAAGGCUCGCGACCUAAUACGUCGCGGGAGUGACGUUACCCGCAGAAUAAGCACCGGCAAACUCCGUGCCAGCAGCCGCGGUAAUACGGAGGGUGCGAGCGUUAAUCGGAAUUACUGGGCGUAAAGCGCACGUAGGCGGUUUGUUAAGUCGGAUGUGAAAUCCCCGGGCUCAACCUGGGAGCUGCAUUCGAUACUGGCAGACUUGAAUACGGUAGAGGGGGGUGGAAUUCCAGGUGUAGCGGUGAAAUGCGUAGAGAUCUGGAGGAACACCAGUGGCGAAGGCGGCCCCCUGGACCGAUAUUGACGCUGAGGUGCGAAAGCGUGGGGAGCAAACAGGAUUAGAUACCCUAGUAGUCC